rnacentral:rRNA from 1 species
GACGAACGCUGGCGGCGUGCCUAAUACAUGCAAGUCGAACGAGAGCGACCGGUGCUUGCACUGGUCAAUCUAGUGGCGAACGGGUGAGUAACACGUGGGUAACCUGCCCAUCAGAGGGGGAUAACAUCCGGAAACGGAUGCUAAAACCGCAUAGGUCUUCGAACCGCAUGGUUUGAAGAGGAAAAGAGGCGCAAGCUUCUGCUGAUGGAUGGACCCGCGGUGCGUUAGCUAGUUGGUGAGGUAACGGCUCACCAAGGCCGUGAUGCAUAGCCGACCUGAGAGGGUGAUCGGCCACAUUGGGACUGAGACACGGCCCAAACUCCUACGGGAGGCAGCAGUAGGGAAUCUUCCGCAAUGGACGCAAGUCUGACGGAGCAACGCCGCGUGAGUGAAGAAGGUUUUCGGAUCGUAAAACUCUGUUGUUAGAGAAGAACAAGUGCUAGAGUAACUGUUAGCGCCUUGACGGUAUCUAAACAGAAAGCCACGGCUAACUACGUG